GACGAAGGGGGCUAGCGUUGUUCGGAAUUACUGGGCUUAAAGGGUGCGUAGGCUGCGCAGAAAGUUGGGUGUGAAAUCCCUCGGCUCAACCGAGGAACUGCGCCCAAUACUACUGUGCUCGAGGGAGACAGAGGUGAGCGGAACUUAGGGUGGAGCGGUGAAAUGCGUUGAUAUCCUAAGGAACACCCGUGGCGAAAGCGGCUCACUGGGUCUCUUCUGACGCUGAGGCACGAAAGCUAGGGUAGCGAACGGG
rnacentral:rRNA from 1 species